UACGAAGGGGGCUAGCGUUGUUCGGAAUCACUGGGCGUAAAGGGCGCGUAGGCGGCCACAUAAGUCGGGGGUGAAAGCCUGUGGCUCAACCACAGAAUUGCCUUCGAUACUGUAUGGCUCGAGACCGGAAGAGGUAAGUGGAACUGCGAGUGUAGAGGUGAAAUUCGUAGAUAUUCGCAAGAACACCAGUGGCGAAGGCGGCUUACUGGUCCGGUUCUGACGCUGAGGCGCGGAAAGCGUGGGGAGCAAACAGG
rnacentral:rRNA from 1 species